UCUUUAGGCUAGUAUCAUCAUGUGAUUAUUAUUAACCAAUCAAUCCUAAUUAAUAAUUACUAUUUUUUGUAGUUAUCUGCAAGACAGGAGAUGAAAAGAGUUAUUAUGCUUUCAUUCCAGUGGAGCAAAUGGAUGUUUAACAUGGAACUGCAG
rnacentral:lncRNA from 13 species